ACUGCUAAUACCGCAUAAGCCCACGGGUCGGCAUCGACCAGAGGGAAAAGGAGCAAUCCGCUUUGAGAUGGUCUCGCGUCCGAUUAGCUAGUUGGUGAGGUAAUGGCCCACCAAGGCGACGAUCAGUAGCCGACCUGAGAGGGUGACCGGCCACAUUGGGACUGAGACACGGCCCAAACUCCUACGGGAGGCAGCAUG
rnacentral:rRNA from 1 species